GACAGAGGGUGCAAACGUUGUUCGGAAUUACUGGGCGUAAAGCGUGUGUAGGCGGCUAAGUAAGUCGGAUGUGAAAGCCCCGGGCUCAACCCGGGAAGUGCACUCGAAACUGCUUAGCUCGAGUAUCGGAGAGGUUGGUGGAAUUCUCGGUGUAGAGGUGAAAUUCGUAGAUAUCGAGAGGAACACCGGUGGCGAAGGCGGCCAACUGGACGAAUACUGACGCUGAGACACGAAAGCGUGGGGAGCAAACAGG
rnacentral:rRNA from 1 species